rnacentral:rRNA from 1 species
GACGAACGCUGGCGGCGUGCUUAACACAUGCCAGUCGAGCCGGAAGGCCUCUUCGGGGGUCCACGAGCGGCGAACGGGUGAGUAACACGUGGGUGACCGGCCCUCAUCUCUGGGAUAAGCCUGGGCAACUGGGUCUAAUACCGGAUAUGACCUUUCCUCGCCUUUGGCUUGGCGGAAAGUGUUUUGGGCUGGGGAUGGGCCCGCGGCCGAUCAGCCUGUUGGUGGGGUGAUGGCCUACCAAGGCGCCGACCGCUAGCCGGCGUGAGAGGGGGACCGGCCCCCCUGGGCAUGAGAGCCGGCCCCGGAUCCUACGGGAGGACGCAGUGGGGCAUAUUGCGAGAGGGGCGGAAGGCUGAGGCCGCGACGCCGCGUGGGGGAUGGCGGGCUUCGGGUUGUAAACGUCUUUCGACCCCGACGAAUUUGGACGGUAGGGGGAGAAGAAGCACCGGCCAACUACGUG